UACGUAGGAGACGAGCGUUGUCCGGAGUUACUGGGCGUAAAGGGUGCGCAGGUGGCGGCGCGCGUGGGGGGUGAAAUCGCCCGGCUUAACUGGGCGGGGGCCUUCCAGACGGCGUGGCUUGAGCAGCGGAGGGGGACGUGGAAUUCCGGGUGGAGCGGUGAAAUGCGUAGAUAUGCGGAGGAACACCGAUGGCGAAGGCAAUCCCCUGGGCCUGCACUGACGCUCAUGCACGAAAGCGUGGGGAGCAAACAGG
rnacentral:rRNA from 1 species